CACAGGUAUGGUCCCAGCCUUCGUGUCAGCUCUAGCUAAACUUACACAUGCAAGUAUCAGCACCCCCGUGAGAAUGCCCUCAACGCCCAACCGGUUUAGAGGAGCAGGUAUCAGGCACGCAAUGCAGCCCAAGACACCUUGCUAAGCCACACCCACAAGGGUAUUCAGCAGUGAUUAACAUUAAACAUAAGCGCAAGCUUGACUUAGUUACAGCUAAGAGAGCCGGUAAAACUCGUGCCAGCCACCGCGGUUAUACGAGAGACUCAAGUUGACACUCUCGGCGUAAAGAGUGAUUAUAGGUAGCCAACAAACUAAAGCCAAAACUUCUCAAAGCCGUCAUACGCUUAUCGAGAACCGUAGGCCCACUUACGAAAGUAGCUUUAAAAUUAAUAGUCCCUAGACCCCACGACAGCCGGGAAACAAACUGGGAUUAGAUACCCCACUAUGCCCGGUUAUAAACCUUGAUAAUAAAACACAAAUAUUAUCCGCCAGGGAACUACAAGCGCAUUGCUUAAAACCCAACGGACUUGGCGGUGCCCCACACCCACCUAGAGGAGCCUGUUCUAUAACUGACAACCCCCGUUUAACCUCACCACUUCUAGCCCCCCCCCAGUCUAUAUACCACCGUCGUAAGCUCACCCUGUGAAGGAAGCAGCAGUAAGCAAGAUGGGCACAGCCCAAAACGUCAGGUCGAGGUGUAGCAUAUGAAGUGGGAAGAAAUGGGCUACAUUUUCUGACAAACAGAAUAUACGGAUACCACCAUGAAACCUAGUGCUUGAAGGAGGAUUUAGCAGUAAAAAGAAAACAGAGUGUUCUUUUGAAACCGGCCCUGGGGCGCGCACACACCGCCCGUCACUCUCCACUAUCUUCUCUUUAGAAGAAAAACACUUUAUUUAAUAUAAAUAAUAUAAAACAAACAUAAACAGUGGAGACAAGUCGUAACACGGUAAGUGUACCGGAAGGUGCACUUGGAACAAC
rnacentral:ncRNA from 1 species